rnacentral:rRNA from 1 species
ACGGGNUUGGGCGAAUCAGCGGGGAAAGAAGACCCUGUUGAGCUUGACUCUAGUCUGACUUUGUGAAGAGACAUGAGANGGUGUAGCAUAGGUGGGAGCGCGAGCGACCUUGAAAUACCACUACUUUUAUCGUUUCUUUACUUAUUCAGUCGAGCGGAGAGCGGGGCGCAAGCCCCUAGCUUCUGGACUUAAGCCGGCCGCCUCGUCUGUGGCCGGCGAUCCGCUCUGAAGACCGUGUCAGGCGGGGAGUUUGACUGGGGCGGUACAUCUGUCAAAAGGUAACGCAGGUGUCCUAAGGCGAGCUCAGCGAGGACGGAAACCUCGCGUAGAGCAAAAGGGCAAAAGCUCGCUUGAUUUUGAUUUUCAGUACGAAUACAGACCGUGAAAGCGUGGCCUAUCGAUCCUUUUGACUUUAGGAGUUUUAAGCAAGAGGUGUCAGAAAAGUUACCACAGGGAUA